rnacentral:rRNA from 1 species
GAUGAACGCUAGCGGCAGGCCUAACACAUGCAAGUCGAGGGGUAUCCCGCUUUCGGGCGGGAGAGACCGGCGCACGGGUGCGUAACGCGUAUGCAACCUACCCUGUACUGAGGGAUAGCCCGGAGAAGUUCGGAUUAACACCUCAUAGUACUAAUGAGUGGCAUCAUUUAUUAGUUAAAGGUUACGGUACAGGAUGGGCAUGCGUCCUAUUAGCUAGAUGGUAAGGUAACGGCUUACCAUGGCUACGAUAGGUAGGGGGCCUGAGAGGGUGGUCCCCCACACUGGUACUGAGACACGGACCAGACUCCUACGGGAGGCAGCAGUGAGGAAUAUUGGUCAAUGGGCGCAAGCCUGAACCAGCCAUGCCGCGUGCAGGAAGACGGUCCUAUGGAUUGUAAACUGCUUUUAUUUGGGAAUAAACCUCUUUACGUGUAGAGAGCUGAAGGUACCAAAUGAAUAAGCACCGGCUAACUCCGUGCCAGCAGCCGCCGUAA